rnacentral:miRNA from 2 species
GUACCCAAAGGAUCUGUGAUUU